rnacentral:rRNA from 1 species
AGCACUACAACGGGUGGAGCCUGUCGGUUUAAUUGGAUUCAGCGCCGGAAAUCUCACCGGGGCGACAGCAAUAUGAAGGUCAGGCUGAAGACCUUACCCGAUUAGCUGAGAGGUGGUGCAUGGCCGUCGUCAGUUCGUACUGUGAAGCAUCCUGUUAAGUCAGGCAACGAGCGAGACCCACGUCCACAGUUGCCAGCAUACCCUCCGGGGUGAUGGGUACACUGUGGAGACCGCCGCUGCUAAAGCGGAGGAAGGAGUGGGCAACGGUAGGUCAGUAUGCCCCGAAUCUCCCGGGCUACACGCGGGCUACAAUGGUUGGUACAAUGGGCAUCUACCCCGAAAGGGGAAGGAAAUCUCUUAAAGCCAAUCGUAGUUCGGAUUGAGGGCUGCAACUCGCCCUCAUGAAGCUGGAAUCCGUAGUAAUCGCGUUUCAACAGAACGCGGUGAAUACGUCCCUGCUCCUU